AUUGAACGCUGGCGGCGUGCUUAACACAUGCAAGUCGAGCGGUAACAGGCGUAGCAAUACGUGCUGACGAGCGGCGAACGGGUGAGUAAUGCUUCGGAAUCUUCCUCGUAGUGGGGAAUAACCUGGGGAAACUCAGGCUAAUACCGCAUACGAACUAUGGUUGAAAGCGGGGGAUCGCAAGACCUCGCGCUAUGAGAUGAGCCGAAGUCGGAUUAGCUAGUUGGUGAGGUAAAGGCUCACCAAGGCGACGAUCCGUAGCUGGUCUGAGAGGACGACCAGCCACACUGGGAGUGAGACACGGCCCAGACUCCUACGGGAGGCAGCAGUGAGGAAUAUUGGACAAUGGGGGCAACCCUGAUCCAGCGACGCCGCGUGUGUGAAGAAGGCCUGCGGGUUGUAAGGCACUUUCGGCCGGAACGAAAUCGCGCGGAUUAAUAACCCGCGUGGAUGACGGUACCGGAAGAAGAAGCACCGGCUAACUACGUGCCAGCAGCCGCGGUAA
rnacentral:rRNA from 1 species